rnacentral:rRNA from 1 species
GGGGGGGGGGGGGGGGGGGGCGGGGGGGGGCGGGGGGGGCGGGGGGGCGCGAAGGUGGGUGCUGUGGGGGUAGCGGGGGACGGGUGGGUAACACGUGGAGAGCCUACCUAUAAGACUGGGAGAACUUCGGGAAGCCGGAGCUAAGACGGGCUCAUAUUUUGGCCCGCAUGGUGCAAAAGUGAAAGACGGUCUUGCCGUCACUGAUAGAUGGGUCCGCGCUGCAUUAGCUAGUUGGUAAGGUAAUGGCUUACCAAGGCAACGAUGCAUAGCCGACCUGAGAGGGUGAUCGGCCACACUGGAACUGAGACACGGUCCAGACUCCUACGGGAGGCAGCAGUAGGGAAUCUUCCGCAAUGGGCGAAAGCCUGACGGAGCAACGCCGCGUGAGUGAUGAAGGUCUUCGGAUCGUAAAACUCUGUUAUUAGGGAAGAACAUAUGUGUAAGUAACUGUGCACAUCUUGACGGUACCUAAUCAGAAAGCCACGGCUAACUACGUG